rnacentral:rRNA from 1 species
AUCGAACGCUGGCGGCGUGGCUAAAGCAUGCAAGUCGAACGCGAAAGUUCCCGCAAGGGAGCCGGUAGAGUGGCGGAAGGGCGAGGAAUACAUGGGCAACGUACCCUGAGCUUGGGGACAGCUGCGAGAAAUUGCAGGUAAUACCCGAUGACACCGCAGUUUCACAAGCGAUUGCGGUCAAAGGCGGGGAUCCCUUCGGGGACCUGUCGGCUCUGGAGCGGCCCAUGUCCUAUCAGCUAGUUGGUGAGGUAACGGCCCACCAAGGCAACGACGGGUACCGGGACUGAGAGGUUGGCCCGGCGCAUUGGGACUGAGACACUGCCCAGACUCCUACGGGUGGCAG